rnacentral:lncRNA from 14 species
GGAAUACUCUUUUGGCUAGUUCAGUCCAGGUGUCCUGUCUCUGCUCCCUCUCUGCUUCUUGUGCCUCUCCUCACUGGCAGAGCUUGAGAGACUGAAAAGUCUUCUAUCAGGGUAAUUGCUGCUUAGCAACAGCUAAAAGAUUGGUGAGUUAUCAGCAUUGUUCUCAGACUAAAGACAAAACACAGCACUGCACCAGCUACUAGGAGGAAAAUUAACUUACAUUUUUACUUCCUUAGGUUUCCUGUGUGAAGGGAAGAUGUUGGGCAUUUACUGGUAUUGCUGGCUACUGCUUCCCUGAACUGGGAUUAAUUUUGUGAUCAGUUUUGGAAGCCUGAGAUGAAGCAGAAUUGUGCAUUGAUCUGCUCCUGCUGCUUUACAGGCGCAGCAGAAAUAUCCCUGACAUUCAGCAGUGGUGCCUUUUGGUGUCGCCAGAGCCUUGGACCACUGCCUGGACUACAGACUCAUGCCAGCAUUUCUCUGCCUCUUCAGGAAGAAACUGGAUGUCUUUUUCAAAGAGAAAUUUUAAUCAGAUGGAAAUUACUGGACUCACUACAGCAGGCAAAUAGUUCAAGCCUGUGUUCCGUAUCAUGCAGGUUUUUUGGGACCAUGCUGAACCCAUGGACAUCCAGAGAGGGACCCCACUUCCUAGACCAGCAGUGGCUUCUGUUGAACUGCAACUUGGUAUUCUGCAGCACUUCUCAAGCACAUCAGAGCAAGCUGCCUCAGCAACUCAUUAACACAGAACCAAAAGCAAUGCUCCAAGAGACCAUGCUGCAUUUAUUUCCCUUAAUGCUGUUCAGCAAAGCUACCUGUCGUGUAC